UGCUAUACAUGCAAGUCGAGCGGAUUGAUGGGAGCUUGCUCCCUGAUAUCAGCGGCGGACGGGUGAGUAACACGUGGGUAACCUGCCUGUAAGACUGGGAUAACUCCGGGAAACCGGGGCUAAUACCGGAUAACUCAUUUCCUCGCAUGAGGAAAUGUUGAAAGGUGGCUUUUCGCUACCACUUACAGAUGGACCCGCGGCGCAUUAGCUAGUUGGUGAGGUAACGGCUCACCAAGGCAACGAUGCGUAGCCGACCUGAGAGGGUGAUCGGCCACACUGGGACUGAGACACGGCCCAGACUCCUACGGGAGGCAGCAGUAGGGAAUCUUCCGCAAUGGACGAAAGUCUGACGGAGCAACGCCGCGUGAGUGAUGAAGGUUUUCGGAUCGUAAAGCUCUGUUGUUAGGGAAGAACAAGUGCCGUUCGAACAGGGCGGCACCUUGACGGUACCUAACCAGAAAGCCACGGCUAACUACGUGCCAGCAGCCGCGGUAAUACGUAGGUGGCAAGCGUUGUCCGGAAUUAUUGGGCGUAAAGCGCGCGCAGGUGGUUUCUUAAGUCUGAUGUGAAAGCCCACGGCUCAACCGUGGAGGGUCAUUG
rnacentral:rRNA from 1 species